rnacentral:misc_RNA from 1 species
GUGAGUCAUCGAAUCUUUGAACGCACAUUGCGCCCCCUGGUAUUCCGGAGGGCAUGCCUGUCCGAGCGUCAUUAAAUCUACCUUCAAGCCCGGCUUGACAGUGGGUCUCACCGCCGCGGCGGUCGUCCCGAAAGACAAUGACGAGCCCCGGACGCCGUGGAUGCAACGAGCUUUUUGAGCAUGCGUCCCGGCGCCGCGCGGGUGCGUCUGAACCCCCAUCUCAGGUUGACCUCGGAUCAGACAGGGUUACCCGCUGAACUUAAGCAUAUCAAUAAGCGGAGGA